rnacentral:rRNA from 1 species
CACACCGCCCGUCAAACCAUGGAAGCUGUUUGUACCAGAAGUCGCUGUGCUAACUUCGGAGGCAGGCGCCCAAGGUAUGAAGAGUGAUUGGGUG